AGCUGAAUAGCUCAGCUGGUUAGAGCAUCCUGCUGAUAACGCCAAGGUUGCAGGUUAGAUCCCUGACAGCUG
rnacentral:tRNA from 1 species